rnacentral:snRNA from 1 species
GUGCUCGCUUCAGCAGCACAUAUACUAAAAUUGGAACGAUACAGAGAAGAUUAGCACGGCCCCUACGCAAGGAUGACACACAAAUUCGUGAAGCAUUCCAUAUUUUU